GGCCAGACUCCUACGGGAGGCAGCAGGGGGGGAUAUUGCACAAUGGGGGGAACCCUGAUGCAGCGACGCCGCGUGGGUGAAGGAGUGCUUCGGCAUGUAAAGCCCUAUCGGCAGGGAAGAAGCAAGACGGUACCUGAAUAAGAAGCCCCGGCUAACUACGUGCCAGCAGCCGCGGUAAUACGUAUGGAGCAAGCGUUAUCCGGAUUUACUGGGUGUAAAGGGAGCGCAGGCGGCACGGCAAGCCUGAUGUGAAAGCCCGCGGCCCAACCGCGGGACUGCAUUGGGAACUACCGGGCUGGAGUGCCGGAGAGGUAGGCGGAAUUCCUAGUGUAGCGGUGAAAUGCGUAGAUAUUAGGAGGAACACCAGUGGCGAAGGCGGCCUGCUGGACGGUGACUGACGCUGAGGCUCGAAAGCGUGGGGAGCAAACAGGAGUAGAUACCCGAGUACC
rnacentral:rRNA from 1 species